GACGAACGCUGGCGGCGUGCUUAACACAUGCAAGUCGAACGGAAAGGCCCUGCUUUUGUGGGGUGCUCGAGCGGCGAACGGGUGAGUAACACGUGAGUAACCUGCCCUUGACUUUGGGAUAACUUCAGGAAACUGGGGCUAAUACCGGAUAGGAGCUCCUGCUGCAUGGUGGGGGUUGGAAAGUUUCGGCGGUUGGGGAUGGACUCGCGGCUUAUCAGCUUGUUGGUGGGGUAGUGGCUUACCAAGGCUUUGACGGGUAGCCGGCCUGAGAGGGUGACCGGCCACAUUGGGACUGAGAUACGGACCAGACUCCUACGGGAGGCAGCAGUGGGGAAUAUUGCACAAUGGGCGGAAGCCUGAUGCAGCAACGCCGCGUGCGGGAUGACGGCCUUCGGGUUGUAAACCGCUUUCGCCUGUGACGAAGCGUGAGUGACGGUAAUGGGUAAAGAAGCACCGGCUAACUACGUG
rnacentral:rRNA from 1 species